AGAUUUGUCGCUGAUUUACUCAAUAAACUCCUCUUCAUUGCUGCUGCUGCUGCUAAGGACACCGACAAAGGAAGGAGGAUGAGAUGCAGUCAAAUUUGUUUUCAAACAAACAAAUAAAGAGCAAGAAAAUUCGAAGUUCCGCGGGAAAACAAUAAUCGGAAUCGUUUAGUGUGCAAUUACGCCUCUGAUUCGGCUCUCCAACAAUAAUAUUCUUCAAUGAAUUUGCAUUAAUUGCGAAAGGAUGAUCGAUCAAGGGACUACAAAAUUUGUUAGGUCGUGCAUCUGUCAUUUUCCUCUUGAAUCUGACUUUUCCGCUUUCAAGAUUGCUUCAGUUAACACCAAUUUCCCGAUUGAUCGACUCUAUGAAGAACAAGCAGAACAAGAAGUUGCCAAUUGUUGGAUGUGUUCGAUGGGCCGUCGCGCGAGUGCGCAUAAACUGUUUGUCAAAAUGCGAAUCCGUUUUGGCAUUGGAAUUGCUGCUGAGUUUACUAUUGAAACACUUACUGGCUACUUACUUUCUUCAUUAAUUCAAGUACACAACAUAUUUAAAACCUCUUGAAGAACUCAGCAGCCCGAUCCUUUCGGA